UUACUAAUAUUUUUAAACCAGAGUCGUUGAUGAAAGGAGGGUCCAUCGUGAAUUUAGAUUGGGCGUUCCGGAGUUAGACAAAAGCGAGCCUGAUGAGGUUGAAUUGGAGAAUGGACAUAAAAUAUAUAUUUUUAUUUAUUUAUUUAUUUAUUUAUUUGUUUAUUUAUUUAUUUAUUUUUGAGGCUCUUGCGGCAGCGAGAAUUGCGGCAGUAGGGAAGGAUGGAAAGGGCUCCUGCGGGAGCAGACACUGCUAUGGCAGUGGUGAAAUAUAGGUAGAGGCUCCUGCGGGAGCAGACACUGCUGCGGCAGUGGUGAAAUAUAGGUAGAGGCUCCUGCGGGAGAAGACACUGCUGCGGCAGUGGUGAAAUAUAGGUAGAGGCUCCUGCGGGAGCAGACACUGCUGCGGCAGUGGUGAAAUAUAGGUAGAGGCUCCUGCGGGAGCAGACACUGCUGCGGCAGUGGUGAAAUAUAGGUAGAGGCUCCUGCGGGAGAAGACACUGCUGCGGCAGUGGUGAAAUAUAGGUAGAGGCUCCUGCGGGAGCAGACACUGCUGCGGCAGUGGUGAAAUAUAGGUAGAGGCUCCUGCGGGAGCAGACACUGCUGCGGCAGUGGUGAAAUAUAGGUAGAGGCUCCUGCGGGAGCAGACACUGCUGCGGCAGUGGUGAAAUAUAGGUAGAGGCUCCUGCGGGAGCAGACACUGCUGCGGCAGUGGUGAAAUAUAGGUAGAGGCUCCUGCGGAAGCGGAGACUGCUGCGGCAGUGAGGAAAAAACAGAAAAGGCUCCUGCAGGAGUGGACAAUACUGCGGCGGUGGGGAGAUAUAGAGAAGGCUCCUGCGGGAGUGGACAAUGCUGCGGCGGUGGGGAGAUACAGAGAAAGCUCCUGCGGAAGGAUGGCUGAAGUGAGGAUUGACCAUUACAGAUAGAUAGGGCAUGUUAGGAGAGUUAGCUAUGGUAGAUUAGGAGUUUUAGUGAAAGGGGAUGAGCUGGCGUUAGAGGGGUUGGCUGAAGAGGGUUCGAGAUAGAUAUAUAAAUAAAUAAAAUAAUUGGCCUGACCAAUAAUAGGUCUUGGUACCCUCUGCCUUCUGGCAAAUCUGGAGCUGGAGGCCACUGAACAGAAAAAUGGUUAGUAGCAUGAGGGAGCGGAAGAGUUGAGGGCGCGUUUACGAAUGGAGGCGGCCUCACGUUUGCUUCAGCUGCUGUAGCUGUGGGUCGUGGGAAGGGGCUGGGGUGUGUGAUGUCUUGAAGAACCUGUGUAGCCUGCACUGCUAGCAGAAGUAACAGGAUGGAAAUACUGAGAUGUGCAGGCCCGUGUUGCAAGUAAAAGUAGCUUCAUGCUUGCUUUGGCUGCUGUAGUUGUUGGCUGAUUUGACAAUUGCUCAAACCUUGUCUGAAUUAAUACAGUCCUGUUGGAAAAGCAUCUUUUCCUCUUGUUUUGGCCUUCGGGCCCUUUUAAACAGCCUCCGGAGCAGAUAAAUUUGGGAUGCUGUUUUCCUGUUGUAGUUUGGACUGUGAAAAUAGAGGCUUUGAAACAAUGUAGCAUGUUUAGUUUUAUAAACCAUUGUACCAAUAGACAUGUCUAUAGCAGUAACGUUAAUUGCAGUAAUUCAAAUUCAAGCCGUUUCUAAAGACAUUUACUUUGCAUGCUUUUCAUAUAACAGUCCUAAAAAGACGAUAGAAAAUUUACUCACACUUGUUGUUCUGCAGCCAAACACGAGGCAGUAGCGUGAAAAAUUCUGAAUAAUCAUGCCAGUAAAUGGUGAAAUAUGUCCCUAAAUAAUUGAUCCUGCCGGAAUAAUUGCAUGAAACUUAUGUCUGUAUCAUCUCAGUGAGGUUUAAACAUGCACAGUAAAGCAAAUGUAAUGUCUUUAGACAUUUCGGUGUGGAUGACAACUCUGCAAAAAGCCUUUGCUUCGUGGUUAAAAAGUGGCAUCGUCAUCGGACAGAGUUAAGUCAUAACGCCGUUUAACAAAUUUUGGCGUCUUCAUAAGCGCAUUCUAUAUAUAACAUCUAUUUAAAUUGUUCAGAUGAGCAAAUCACGAGGUUUUCUUGCAUGAUUAGCAUUUUAAUUGUUUGGUCAGACGGUUCAUAUAUUGAUCUAUAUAUUCACGUUCAUAAAUCGGGGAUUAAACGUGGAAUUUAUCUUUUGUAUGCUAAAUAUGUAAACAAUAUGUGCACAGUACCUAUAACUGCGCUUUACAUUUUGCAAGAUUGACAUGCUAAAUGGCUAACUGACCCGGUUUACUCUCAUCAAUUUUGUUAAGAUAAGAUAUGUACCAGUUCAUUGCGUUUACGAACGACAUGUAUCCGUUUAAUCAACUCGACAUGUAUACCGGUUUAGUCCUUUCGUUCACGAAUGAGAGCUCUCGAUCUCUGAGACUCAUAUGAAACUCACUCAUUGUGGAUGACAACUCUGAAAAAUUCUUCAUGAAUGAGUGUAAACUGAGAACGAUUCGUUCGCCUAGAAGAUUCAUUCAAAAAAACGAUUCUUUCACGAACGACAUGCCACUACAACAACGCACGGUCUUCGCCGCUAGUGGAGGCAGCAUCGAACUGCGCCACGGCUGAAAAAGCGAGAGAGGUUUACUGCGCUGAGAACUGGAGCACGGCUGCGAUCCAGCAUUAUAAGAGAGCCCGGUCCUGGUGAGAAAAUCGUGUUGUCGAGUGAGGCGAGCUCAAGGAUUUGCACGAGCUUUUGGCCACAACGUGUGGCUUGGCGAGAAGAGCAGCUGACGCGAUGACGCUUGUUGGUGUUCGGCGGAUAGAUAUCUUCGUCGGAAGGAAGAUUGGGCCUGUGAUAAGAUGACGGACAGAGCGAACCCAUAGACAGUAAAAGAAAUGGACACAGCGACCCCAUUGGAACUCAAUUGAGACAAAUGAAGCCCGGUUUUAGCGUUUUUUAGCACUUCCGUUUCUGACGCGCAGACUCAAACGAAGCUUGACGACGUCAGCAACCUGUCUGCCAGAUGUAAAUCUUCUAGUAGCUGUGCGUGCAAACUGCCAUCGUUAAUCUUGCAGAGACGGCGAGCUUGAGCAGGGAGUUCUUUGUUGUGAGUGAGCAGGAGUAAGUAUUCUGAUUCAUUAUUUUGUAUAGUAUUUUAAAAUGUAACGCCAGUACGCCAUAUUAAGUUAAUUGCCUGCGAGCUUCUCCUCCUGUCUGUACGGUAAUGCGACAGAGAGCCGAGUGGUUAUGACGCAAUCGUUAGCCUAUUUUUUACAAAAACUGUUUAUACGGGGCCAUAAUGUAACAUAGAAGGUAAUGGAGCCCUUUAUACAUUGUCGUGUAUCUUUAGAAAUAAAUAAUGGACAAACAGAGUCUUUAAACGCCUCAGAUGUAAAGUUAUUCGCUGUCAAAGUGACGCCAAAAUGAAUGGGAGUCAAUGGGAAUGCUAACGCAAGUGAAGUUCUGCUAAAAGAUGGCAGCCCCCACCCGACUUCAACUUCCGGUCGAGUUCCUUGCCCCUUGAGCGAACCGAAUGCUGACAAACGGUCUAUGCCGAAAAACUGUCCUGCCGAAAAACUGUCGUGGGACAGGAGGUAGGAAGACUGGAUAUAUAUACGCUUGCGUGCUAUUUAAGAUUAUUAGCUAAACGAGAUGAACCUGUGCCAAAUUGGAUGAUUAUCUGAUCGUGCUUCUCCCGAACUUUGUUAAUAAAACCACAUUAAAAACAGUUUUCUUUAAUUGAAAUAAAGCUAAAUUAAAAUGAUAUAGAUAAAUCUUGUAAGCUACUACUAAAUAUUGUAGAAACUUAAUUUUCUGUAAAUUUGCUUUGCAGUGAUUUGUAAAGUAAAAAGCACUAUAAAUUAAAUGAAAACAGUACUAAAAUUAAAGUAGUAACUUUUUACAAAAAAGUUGAAAUGCUAAAAUUAUUAAAACUGACUAAAACAUAAAGGCCAAAAAAAUAAUAAUAAAACGAAUUCCUAAACCUCAAACUUCAACCAUGAGGCUAAAAGCUAUGCUAUGUGUCACUCUGAGUAAGUGCUGUGACAGUUUAUAAAGACCUUGAUGUUGUUUGGACGCCAGAACCGUGUGUGUGUGUGUGUGUGUGUGUGUGUCCACCUGGAUGUUCCCGUGUUUGGCUCCUGGGAUGAUCUGAAUCCUCUCAAAGUCCCUCCCCAGGAUGAUGAUGUCACAGCCAGAGUAGUACGCCUGUCCCACGAGCCCCGGACAAAACAACACACACAGUCUGACACUGACAAUCACAGAGAGUUCUACAUAUCAUCUGAAUGUAAUGUUUUGCUACAUUUUUAUUGUAUUUUUUAAAUCGAGGAAUCAAAGUUUUAAAUGUUUUCAUUUACGGUUAAUAAUCUCAGCUGCUGCUGUUACACUCACAGUCAUGAACAGCUUGAAUCAUCUGGACUUUUUGAGUCAAAUAUUUUGGAACAUUUUUUUAGCAUUUUUAUUUUAUAUUAUUUCUUAACAUAUCAGACAAUCUGCCUUCAUUUUGCAUGCAUCUUGUUUAUUCUCGCUUAUAAACUUUUUGUUGCUCUUUUUGUUGUUUUUGUUGUGUUGUUUUUUAUCCUCAUUUGUAAGUCGCUUUGGAUAAAAGCGUCUGCUGAAUGAAUAAAUGUAAAUGUAAACUUAUGAAAUUAUGGCUUUGUUUCCUUACAUGAAUAUCGAAAUAUUCAACUCUUGUAUGAUGCAGUAUUAAAAUUAGAAUUUAACUUGGGGUCCUGAAAUACCCUGAACACUGCACAGAGGUUAAGAUGACUAUUACUACAAAAAUAAAAUAAAAAUUGAAACUCAUCCUAUUUUUAUUUUUAUUUUCCAGUACUAAAUUCGGAGUCCCGAUCUGAAUCAAAUGUUUUCCGAACUCCGAAGCCCAGAUGAAAUGAUUCGCGAAAUGCGAUUUCGGAGUCCUGAUCUGAAUCAAAUGUUUUGCGAACUCCGAAUCCCAGAUCAAAUGAUUCGUGAAACGCGAUUCGGAGUCCCGAUCUGAAUCAAAUGAUUUGCGAACUCCGAAGCGCCGAUCAAAUGAUUCGUGAAACGCGAUUCGGAGUCCUGAUCUGAAUCAAAUGUUUUGCGAACUUGCUCCGAAGCCCAGAUCAAAGGAUUUGUGAAACGUGCUUCGGAGUCCCUAUCUGAAUCAAAUGUUUUGCGAACUCCGAAGCCCCGAUCAAAUGAUUCGUGAAACGCGAUUUGGAGUCCCGAUCUGAAUCAAAUGUUUUGCGAACUUGCUCCGAAGCCCAGAUCAAAUGAUUCGUGAAACGUGCUUGGGAGUCCCGAUCUGAAUCAAAUGUUUUGCGAACUCCGAAGCCCCGAUCAAAUGAUUCAAAUUAAAUUACAUGAAUAUGUUACAGUUAUACUAAAUUAACAGAUUUGUGAACCGAAAAAAUCAACGAAAUCAACAAGUGAGACAAAUGUGAGCUUUAAUUUUCCAAACCUAACUAAAUAAUUGGAGGCAAAGUUUUUUUUAACUGCACGUAAAUCACAAACCUCUGAAAUCGGUUGAUAAAUGUGAACGUUAUCGUGUUUUUAAAAACCGCAGCUCCUCCAUUUCCUUUCAUUUGUUUUUAUGCA